CGGAGGAAAAGAAACCAACAGGGAUUGCCUCAGUAACGGCGAGUGAAGCGGCAAGAGCUCAAAUUUGAAAGCUGGCCCCUUCGGGGUCCGCGUUGUAAUUUGCAGAGGAUGCUUCGGGUGCAGCCCCCGUCUAAGUGCCCUGGAACGGGCCGUCAUAGAGGGUGAGAAUCCCGUCUGGGACGGGGUGUCUGCGUCCGUGUGAAGCUCCUUCGACGAGUCGAGUUGUUUGGGAAUGCAGCUCUAAAUGGGUGGUAAAUUUCAUCUAAAGCUAAAUACUGGCCGGAGACCGAUAGCGCACAAGUAGAGUGAUCGAAAGAUGAAAAGCACUUUGAAAAGAGAGUUAAACAGCACGUGAAAUUGUUGAAAGGGAAGCGUUUGCGACCAGACUCGCCCGCGGGGUUCAGCCGGCAUUCGUGCCGGUGUACUUCCCCGUGGGCGGGCCAGCGUCGGUUUGGGCGGCCGGUCAAAGGCCCUCGGAAUGUAUCACCUCUCGGGGUGUCUUAUAGCCGAGGGUGCAAUGCGGCCUGCCUGGACCGAGGAACGCGCUUCGGCUCGGACGCUGGCGUAAUGGUCGUAAAUGACCCGUCUUGAAC
rnacentral:rRNA from 1 species